rnacentral:rRNA from 1 species
CCUACGGGGGGCAGCAGUGAGGAAUAUUGGUCAAUGGACGAGAGUCUGAACCAGCCAAGUAGCGUGAGGGAUGACUGUCCUAUGGGUUGUAAACUUCUUUUAUCAAGGAGUAAAACGACGCACGUGUGCCUGUUUGAAAGUACCUUAUGAAUAAGCAUCGGCUAACUCCGUGCCAGCAGCCGCGGUAAUACGGAGGAUCCGAGCGUUAUCCGGAUUUAUUGGGUUUAAAGGGAGCGUAGGUGGGUUGUUAAGUCAGUUGUGAAAGUUUGCGGCUCAACCGUAAAAUUGCAAUUGAUACUGGCAGUCUUGAGUACAGUUGAGGUAGGCGGAAUGCGUGGUGUAGCGGUGAAAUGCUUAGAUAUCACGAAGAACCCCGAUUGCGAAGGCAGCUUACUAGACUGUGACUGACAUUGAUGCUCGAAAGUGUGGGUAUCAAACAGGAUUAGAUACCCUUGUAGUC